rnacentral:rRNA from 1 species
CAGUCGCCACGGUAAUACAGAGGGUGCGAGCGUUAAUCGGAUUUACUGGGCGUAAAGCGUGCGUAGGCGGCUUCUUAAGUCGGAUGUGAAAUCCCUGAGCUUAACUUAGGAAUUGCAUUCGAUACUGGAAAGCUAGAGUAUGGGAGAGGAUGGUAGAAUUCCAGGUGUAGCGGUGAAAUGCGUAGAGAUCUGGAGGAAUACCGAUGGCGAAGGCAGCCAUCUGGCCUAAUACUGACGCUGAGGUACGAAAGCAUGGGGAGCAAACAGGAUUAGAGACCCCGGUAGUCCCUGUCUCUUAUAC